AGAGUUUGAUCAUGGCUCAGGAUGAACGCUGGCGGCGUGCCUAAUGCAUGCAAGUCGAGCGACGCAUAUCGGAGGGGUAACCCACUGGUAUGACGGAGCGGCGAACGGGUGAGUAACACGUGAGUAACCUGCCCCACAGAUCGGGAUAGCCCAGGGAAACCUGGAUUAAUACCGGAUAUUCUCUUCUAACUUCAUGGUCUGAAGAGGAAAUGCCUUUGUGCUGUGGGAUGGACUCGCGGCUUAUCAGCUAGUUGGUGGGGUAACGGCCUACCAAGGCGUCGACGAGUAGCUGGUCUGAGAGGACGAUCAGCCACACUGGGACUGAGACACGGCCCAGACUCCUACGGGAGGCAGCAGCAGGGAAUCUUGCACAAUGGGCGAAAGCCUGAUGCAGCAACGCCGCGUGUGGGAUGAAGGCCUUCGGGUUGUAAACCACUUUCAGGAGGGAAGAAAUUGACGGUACCUCCAAAAGAA
rnacentral:rRNA from 1 species